ensembl:snRNA U2 U2 spliceosomal RNA
AUCGCUUCUCGGCCUUUUGGCUAAGAUCAAGUGUAGUAUCUGUUCUUAUCAGUUUAAAAUUAAAUUUUUUCUUACAACAAAAACUACAUUCAGUAAGUAUAGGUCAACAAUAAAACAAUAAUGUUGCAACCCUUU